rnacentral:rRNA from 1 species
CAGCAGCCGCGGGAAUACGAAGGUGGCGAGCGUUGUCCGGAAUCAUUGGGCGUAAGGGGAGCGCGGGCGGGCAUGUAAGUCUUUCUUAAAAGUGCGGGGCUCAACCCCGUGAUGGGAAAGAAACUACAUGUCUUGAGUACAGGAGAGGAAAGCGGAAUUCCCAGUGUAGCGGUGAAAUGCGUAGAUAUUGGGAGGAACACCAACGGCGAAAGCACUCUGCUGGGCCGACACUGACACUGAGAGACGAAAGCUAGGGGAGCAAAUGGGAUUAGAUACCCGUGUAGUCCCUGUCUCUUAUACC